CUUAAUCAUAAUUAUAAGGAUAAUAAAGUUUGCUCUCACCGACCAUCCCUAAAACAAGUGGCAAAGGGCUUGGUGGUUGGUACCCGAGACCCAAGUUCGAAUCCUAGUUGAUUCACAUUUUCAGCUAAAUUUAUUUUCUAAAUGAAAUAAACGAAGCGGAUAUAUAUCAUGAACUUGAGAAAUCUUCGGGUUGUAAAACGAGCAUUGCUUCUGUACUUUCGAAAAUACGGAGGUCUUUGUAUUUCGAGUUGUUUUUGAUGAUUGAACAUCUGAUUCAGCAAUCGACCAGAUCCGUUAGAUAUGAUCUAGAUGAUUGAAAUUAUUUAGAAUAAAUUAAAUUUAUCAUUUUUUUAUUUUAUUUGUCUAGUGAACGUAUAGUCUCAAAAUGAAUUGCUGAAAUUAAAAAUCUCAUAAAAAAUAGUGAUAAAAAAUUUAAAUUUCAAAUCAGAAGUACAUAUCUAGCUCUCAGUAAACUUUUAUCUAAUUUAGAUUAUUUUACACUGUUGAACCUACAAACAUGCCGCAUCAACCAUUAAAAUAGUCAUUUUUUAAAUCUUUUGAUCACUUGGCAAAUAAUAUCGAAAUAUUAUAAAAUUCAGUUUCGAAAUAGUUCUAAUGGCACAGAUCGUAUCUAAUAGUGUUGUUUGUCGAAUCAAAUGUCUUACCAUUGAAAAUAUAUAAUUUGGAAAUACAAAAACCUCCAUAUAUUCAGAAGCACGUGCUUAAAUAUGUAUACUUAUCCUAUCAAAAAUUUAACUGAUUUAGCUU
rnacentral:lncRNA from 1 species